rnacentral:rRNA from 1 species
UACAGAGGUCCCAAGCGUUGUUCGGAUUCACUGGGCGUAAAGGGUGCGCAGGUGGCUGGGUAAGUUUGAUGUGAAAGCCCCGGGCUUAACCCGGGAAUGGCAUUGAAUACUAUUCGGCUGGAGGAUUGGAGGGGGGACUGGAAUUCUUGGUGUAGCAGUGAAAUGCGUAGAUAUCAUGAGGAAGACCAGUGGCGAAGGCGGGUCUCUGGACAGUUCCUGACACUGAGGCACGAAGGCCAGGGGAGCAAACGGG